AACAUUUUUAAAUUAUAUACGACUCCAAGUCGAUAUAUAACGAAAAUGUUUGGUAACCAAAGAAAAUCAGCCAAAAAGAGCCAUAACUUGCCUUAUUUAGCAUUCAUUAAUUGUUGCGACAAUUAAUUAAUGCUAAAUAAAGCAAAUUCUGACUGCUUUUUUUGUCUACCUAGCAUUACCCGUAUAUAAAAGCCUAUGAACAAAUGUAUGCCAAUUUGUAUUUGCGCACUCUGUUGCAUCCUCUGAUCUGUAGGCAUUUAAAUUUAAAAAUGUGGGGAAGUUUAAGGUUCUCCGAAAUCAACUUCUUUCGUUAUAGUUAGGACGAUGACAUUUAUGGCUGUAUUUAAUUCAGGAGCAACAACCAAAGGCUGAUCAACUCAUAAACUAGUUGGUGACAUCAUGUAUUUUAAUACAAAGUGAAGCAAUGACGUCACCGUUCCCAAUAUGAGGAUUAAGUCAAAGUGGAUGAUAUAAAUUAAUCAACAACUAGUACAUCAAUUGGUGAUUAACAGACAUAUGUAUAUGCUUAAUUAAUUGUAGCUCAUUUUCUUCACAGCAAAAACUCUCCUCACUAAUCAUAGUUGAUAUGCCUACAUCAGCAUAAAGAGUCACCAAAGUACAAAGUACAAACUAAGAAUUAGAGAAGAAGAGGUGGAUUUUGUUAGAAUCAUUACUAAAACCGAAAAUUUUAGUAUAUUAGGCAGCAGGAGCAUAGUCAUAGCCAUCAUCAUCAUCAUCACCUUCCAUGAAACUUGAAUGAUCAUAUCCAUUAUUAUCCCCUUGUCGAAACCAACUAGUAGUUGCUGGAGCAUAGCCACCAUCACGAUCAUCGUUUUCAAGCAUGUUGCAGCAAGGGGCAACAUUAACCUUGGAAGUGGAGGACAUUUUUCUAGAGUUUAGAGUAAGUAGUUGAACAAGAAAUAAUACAAGUGUAUGUGUUACUAUAUUAUUAUAUCUCUCUGUAAGAGGCUAGUGAUGUAUGUGUUUUGUGUUGUUGUUGUUGAGUUUGAAUUGGUGGGAAGAGAGACCACUCUGUUAUCUAUAUAAUGGAGAUAGAAAGUGGAAGGACUCGAUCAUAUUCGCCACUAGCUAGCCACGAGCCAGGCAUGUGGAUUUAGGGUUCGGACCUGAGCAUCUCCCUAAUUCCAAUGCUGCAUGCUGCUUGGUUUCUGCGUCCACGUACACCAAUUC
rnacentral:lncRNA from 1 species